AUUGUGGCUAGAUAAAUUGUUACGACCACUGAUGUGAGGCUAAGGGAGCUUUCUAUUUGGUCAUGUGGCGGCUACGCACACUUUGUUAUCAUUGAAGAUUGAAGAAAAUUUUCAAAAUGUCUGACAGUUCGUUUUUUUAUUUGAAGGAAAGAGGUUCGGAAGAGAGUAACGGAAAAAUAUGGCUAGAUGUUAUAGAUGAACACAAGAAAUAAAACAACAAAUGACCCUUUUAUUAAAGGUGUGAUUUUAUAAUCAAUUUAAGGUGUGGAAAAAAAAUAUAGAAACCGUUGUAGCAAUCUGCCUUGGUUUUUAAGAUAUGGUAGGCAAAAUGAAAUUAAAUUUCUGGUGCACCAAACACAACUUAAAGUUGAAAACUUCAUUUAAGAAAUUCUCUGAUAUUAUAUUAAUCUAAAACCACAAGCAACCAUGGAUUUUUUCAGCAAAUAAAUAUCCAAAGCAGCAGAAAAAAUAUAUCCAUCCAUAUUUAAAGCUCUAUUUUAAUUAUUUUAUAGUUACUUCAACAUUCUAGGCGGAAAAUUAAAAUUACAAGUAACCAUGGCUCUUUGCACCAAAUACAUAUCGAAAUACCAAGAAGAAUGGUAAAAAACGGUCAAAAGAUAUGAAUAAUAACUUAUAUUAAAAAUAAAUGUUUUAGAUAGUUUAUUAAUGAAUACCUCCACAACAAGAUUAAAUCUUCUAGUUAUA